CUUGCGUCUGAUUAGCUAGUUGGUGUGGUAAAGGCAUACCAAGGCAACGAUCAGUAGCCGGACUGAGAGGUUGAACGGCCACAUUGGGACUGAGAUACGGCCCAGACUCCUACGGGAGGCAGCAGUGGGGGAUAUUGCGCAAUGGGGGAAACCCUGACGCAGCAACGCCGCGUGAAGGACGAAGGUUUUCGGAUUGUAAACUUCUUUUGUCAGGGACGAAGAAAUGACGGUACCUGACGAAUAAGCUCCGGCUAACUAC
rnacentral:rRNA from 1 species